GGAGGAGCUCGGAGGCUGAGGCAGCGGAGAAUCAGAGGACUGGGCCAUAUGGGCAGUGCGAGGAGGUCUUCCAUGUAACUGAUAGCAACGAUCGCGAGUGUGGCCAAGUUUAUUGCAAUAGGUGCAAUGAGGACGUUGGCCUCUACCUCGGGUACCACUGCGUCCUCCUCGAGAGGUAGUUUGAGAAACUAACACAGAAGAAUCUGAAGCGCUAUCAGAUGGCAAGGUCUGAGUGGACGAGAUACAGAGGAGGCGAGCAAACACAUCAUCCAAGGACGGAACUGAUGAACUACCAAGAAUCUGAUCACGAAUAGGCUCAAGAUCCGGACGGAGGCCAAUAAGAGUAAGGACCAUGAAGAACUUGUCAAGCUGUGUUUGUUGAGCCCCAACAUCAGGAGUAAGAGGCAUCACAGUCAAGAACUGCUCCUUAAGCGAGGCAAUCUGACCAAUAUAAGUGGAUAGAUCCAAGUCCUGUUGGCUGAGAUGGACAAUAGCAGAAGCCACCUUAUAAAGACGCUGGAUAUCAUUCGUGUAUAAUCCUUUGGCCUGAGUCCAAAAUUUAAAACAAGUUUUAUAGGCCUGAAGAUGAAGAAGAAUCCGGGGAUCAACCGAUUGCCAUAAUACACUACACAACUGUGCAUCUAUCUUCCUCCAUUGUACGCGGUCAACCUCAGGGAUAUCUGCCUCCUGGGUAACCAAGUGAUCCUCAUAUCCUUGACCCAUAAACCAAAGUUCAACAGAGGCAGACCAGGAGAGAUAAUUCUCACUGCCAACCAAUUUCUCUGAGGUAAUCAGAGGAGAUCCAGAGAGAACAGACGUAAAGAUCUGAUUUUUGGUGGUCAUAUUCACGUAUUUGGAUCGAAGAGAGCCCUAAGAUGGGUUCAGAUGGCUGUGAGAGGUGCAAUCAAUGGAGAAAAAAGGUCGUGACGUGCCUGGAGAGGAAGAGAAGCAGCACCCAAGCCUCGGGGAUGGAGGGGGAGCCCUGUCGGAGGUGGCCGGAAUGGCAAGAAAGCCAAAAACAGGGAAAAAAUGGAGAUGCAGGGCUCGGGGAGGACUGCCGGAGGGCUAGAAGGCCAAGACGGCGCCGGACAAGCCUGGAGAGGUGUCGGAAGUGGCCGGAAAGUGAGCCACGCGCCGUCACGUGCCGGCGCGUGGGUGACAGGCCGGAGGAGAAGGGCGGCGCGUGGGGGCGCGUGAGAUGCCGGUUGCCGAUGGGGUUUCCACUGGCGUGUAGAUCAGCCUCCGGCUGUUCGGAAUAUGUGGUCUUUUCCCGGAAAAAAAGGUCGCCGGAAAAUUUCGCCGGAAAAGGUUGCCGGCGUGGUGGAGAUCCGACGGCGAUGAGGUUGUUCGGGGUGGUUCGGAAAGAGAGUGAGGGGACCGGAGUGAAAACACGGUCACUUGACGGUUCGCCGGAAUUGAGUACACGGCUAAACUGAAAAAAUUAGGUUUUCUCCUUUGGCUCUGAUACCAUGUUGAGAGAGAGAGAGAGAGAGGAGAAAAACCUUAUUCUCAUUCAUUGUAAUCUCUACUUACAAUUGAGAGAUAUAUAUAUACAAGGCUAGGAGUCCUAACUACCAUACAUGUGACCUAUAUUAACAAGGAAAGAUAGUAUACUAUACAAUACAUACAUUAUAUUCAACAGUACCUACCAAACAUCCCUGAAGGAUGGGAAAAAAAAUUAUAGCCUUUUAUAUACAAGCAAUAUUUACAUUAAAGUACAGAACUCUAGCAGCUAACUUGAGGAAAACAAACUUUUAUUGUUAUUGAACAAAUUAGGAUGCAUUUGAUUACACUACUGUUUUAAGAUUAAAAGUUUGAAAGCAAUUUUGAAAAUCAUGUUUGGUCAGUAGUUUUUACUUUCAUUUUAAAAUUUGAUAGCAUAAAUUUUAAAAAUAAGUGUCCAUUUGGAAGAACUUCAUGUUUCCUAUUUUUAAAUUAGAAACUUCAAUGUAAAAGUAAAACAUUUUAUACAAAAAAUAUAACUUCAUCUUAUAUCUUUAAAAAUAACUUUCAAAAAUUUUAAAAUUUGAGGUAUUAAAAAAUUUUUGAUACCUCAAUUUGUUUAAACAGUUUUUAAAACCAUUUCUUUUUCAAUGUAAGCCUCCAAGAAUUUUUGGAUUUUAUAUAAAAGUUUCUAUUAUUUUCUGAUUUUAAAAACAUAAAAUUGGAAGUGUAUCCAAACAGAUCCUAAAGAUAUUAUUUUUUUUGAAGCAGAAUUAAAAUUGAGGAAUUAACACCCAUGACUCGCCCACAUCUUAUUUAUUUAUUUAUUUUUAUCUAUUCUUAUUUUUUUUAACUGAACCAACAACAUUUGUGUCUCACUUGUGAAUAUUAAAACCAUUGAGUAUCACAAAAAAUUAUUGGAAAAUCAUCCUUUUUUUUUCUUUUGUUUUUUUGUUUUUUAAACUUCUUGUACAAAUUUACUAAGCAUGUCAUUGUUUUUAUAAAUAAGAAACAAAAUUUGAACUACCAAAAUAUUAGUAUUUAAUUAUGAAGGUUAGCUAAGUAGUUGACCUUGUUAGUCCGUUCUUGCAAGAGUGGGAGCCUAAUCUUUCUAUUGAUUUUCAACAAAAUUUGAACUACCAAAAUAUUUAAUAUCUAUAAAAAUAGAAAAAAAUUAUUAAAAAUAAAAACAUAAUUGAAGAAACAUUUUAAUUUUCAAAACUGGUAAAGACAAAGCAUGUGCAGACAACACCUUAUUUAAUUAAAAAUGUGGAAUUUCACAAAUAAGUAGAAGAUUAACCCAGAAGGGAUAAGGUUUUAUUCACUUUUAUCAAGCACUUUACAUAUUUGGGACUUUAACCGGAACUACUUAUGUAAAAGUAAUGUAGCACAUCUAUAUCAACUAUGCCAGGGAAUAUCAUCCAUCAGACAGUCAUUUUUGAAGAUGACCAGAAGAAAGGACCUUAAAAUGACAUAAAGCCUUCUUCAACUACUGGCAGUGAGUGGACUCUAAAAUAGAGAUUAGAUACUUGAUGAAGUUUUUGUUUGUUGGAUGUGUCCUCAUCUGCAUAUACAGGGACACAAUUGCUAACUUUCUAUUUAGACGUGUACUUGGUGAGUUAUUCAGACAUGAAUAGUUGACGCAAUCAAGGUAGUCACACCCUGGUUCUUGGAAAGUCAUUUUGCAAGUUUUCUCUGAUUUUCAAGUUAUACUCAUUUUUCUAUAGGUGAUGGUACAAAGGUUCACUUUUGGGAAGAUUUAUGGCUGGGAGGUUAGCUACUUUGCACUCAAAUUCCUACCCUUCUCAUAAUUGUAAGAGUAAGAGGCUCUUCCAUUUCAUCCAUUCUAGAUCUUCUUUCUCUUUGAACUGGAAUUUCAGUUUCAUAGAAACCUCAAUAACUCAAAAAUUGAACAACUUGAACUUCUCAUGUUAUCUCUUAUCUUCGUGGAUUUAUUACCUUCCAUCGAGGAUCAGAGAAUUUAGUCAUUGAAUUCCCCAAACUUAUUUUUUGUAAAAGUCUUUGUUUUUAGCUCUUUCCAAACUCUUGAUUUUUUUUUGGUCAAUUUCAUUUGAAACUCUAAAGCUGCAUUUAAGGUCAAGGCCCUUGCAUUGUUAGAGGCCAAUAAGAAAGUUUAACACCAAUGAUUUGCUACAAGUGAGGAGGUCUUUCAAAGUUCUCAACCUGGAUUGUUGUGUUAUGUGCCUAAGGAGCAAGGAAUCGAUUCAGCAUCUUUUCUUACAUUGUCUAGUGACUUUGAGCCUAAGGAAUAGGUUAUUUAGUGUUAUUGGAAUACAUUAGGUUCCUUUCAAUAGUGUGAGAGAUACAUUGUUUAUUCUUUUAGAGGAUUUGGGGAUACUAUUAGAGGAAGGAUGCUUUGGCUUGUGGCUUCCCUCAAAUUGUUACAAAUUGUUUAGGGAGAGGAAUGCAACAAUUUUUUUAGGAUAUAUAGAGGACCUCAGAAUUUAUUUGGAAUUUGAUUACAUUUCUAUUCACCCUUUUAUGCUUCUUCUACUAUAGCUUUUCAGCACACUCAAUUGAAUAUUCUAUAGUUUGAUUGCAACAUGGUGUGUAGGUAAAAAAUGGUAGGUUGUAAAAUGUUUUCAGUAAGGACUCCACCUCCAUUGGUUUUGAUUAAGUUAAACUUUGAUGGGUGUGCUCUAGGCAACCAAGCCCACAGUAGCAAUCUCAUGGGUAUCUAAGUCGGAGAGAGGUCCUUGGAAGUAUGACAUAUGACUAUCAAAUAUUUGAUCUAGCUAGUAGCUUAGGUUAUUCCUUCUCUCGGUCCUCUCAUUCAACAAAUGAAGUUGUAGAUGGGUUAGCCAAACAUGGAACUAAGAAAAUAGUUUCUUUUAAAUGAGAUUUUUUACCCAUUAAAUUGUACAUUGUUGCAUAUCUUGUCCAUGUUCUUGUUUUAUACUUGGUUGGUAUGAACUAUCUCAAUACUUUGUUCGAUUAUUCCUCCUUUUUUUUUAUCAUCCUUUCGAUUUUGAAAGGAUUUCUCAUCCUUUUUACUUAAAAUUCAUAUCGAUGAAUAGUCUGACUGAUAAUAUAUAUAGUUGUUGACACAAAAUGAAAACAUCCAAGUAUCCUAGCCAAAUAGAGUGUAUGUGAGAGAAAGGAUAGGAUAAAAUUGGAAUUCCAUAAGGAAAUUGUUAUGUAAAAUAGCUAUGAUCACAUUGAAAAGAAACUAAAUAAUUGAAUAUACAGUUCCAUACAAGACUAACAAGAACUAAAUUAAGUACCUUUGCUUGAAUAUAUUUUUCCUUUUGGUGAAUUGCAUCUUUGGGGCAUGGCUUCAUAACUGUUGAGGAGAAAACAUUUGAUUCACCUAAUCUGCAUAAUAUUAUUACAACAGUAAUUAUAAGGAACUAUAAAGCAUAAGAUUGCACACACACAAAAUUAAAGGGAUUUAAAACCGUAAGUGCUUUCAAAACUACUCCAUUUACAGUCCACAGAAACAGCUGACUUUGCAACUGGCUCAUCCGUUUAUCAUAUAAUAGGAUUGUUUAACAUGAGUUCACCAUUCCUCCAGUAUCUAAAAUAGAUUAAUAAUUUGAACUCAUGUAUAUGAGUGGUUAACAUGAGUUCAUCAUAUUUUUAGUUGAAAUCACACAUUUGAAAACAAACUCAGCAUUAGCAGUCAAGAGUAGUAAGCACUAGAGACAAUAGUUUCCUGGUGAAGUGCCUCUGUAGAUCCUGCCUCAUGGUAGAACUUAGCAAGUGGAAAAUUCUUUUUUUUGAUUAGUGCAAGUGGAAAAUUCUUGGCAGGAGAGUACACAAUUCAUAAACCCCAUACCUCUACUACAUAUGACUAGGUCAACUCUCCUAUAUAUAACUAGAGCAACAUAGGAAAGCUUCCAUUCUUUGCCAUAAUUAUGAUCUUUCCAUUAGUUGUAUUAAAAGAUCCCAUCUAGCAGAGUCCAUGACAGCACUCCUUCAACUGGACCUUAAAAAAUUAACGACACUACAAAAGAAAUCUCCACCUAGAUAAAUGAUUAGAAGCAUACAAGACAGGAAUAUCAUGAGCAGAUCAUUAAGCAUUAAAAAGUUCCACAGUCCACAACCAUAAGGUUAUGAAAUAAAACUAGAAAAGCAAUGACCCUUCCUGAGGUGCCCUAAUAAUACAUGUCUGGUGAGAUACUUUGAGCUCAUAAAAAUGGAUGUAGGACAUUUACCUUACUUGUGCCAACUUUGUGGCAAACCUAGCUACAUUUCUGUUUGAUGUUCUAUGCACUACAAUCUCGUCUUCAUGAAUGCUUCUACUGACAACUUUCAAGUGCCAUUUCCAGUUACCGACCCAAUCUUUCUCAAACCAGAUGUCUUCACAGAUAUCUUCAUCUCAAUGAGAUACAUAGUUUGAGUUACCGACUUCAGUUUUAUCUGCAAGAUUUUAAAGACUUUAUGUUGGAACUACAUCCACAGCUAACACCAUAAGUUUGUGACUAUGUUGUGUUCUUGUUAUAGACCAGUGUACUCCUAAACAACAUGAGGUCCUUAGGCAAAAAGAACACACUGGUUAAGAGCAGCCAUACCUCAACGAUGGAUAUGGAUAUACCAAAGUAGUUUUGAGGACUACCUAGUAUAUUGUUUGUUAUAAGCCAUUGUUUACUCUGGAUGAUCAGUUGUGGUAUUCUACUAAUCAACUACUAACGUCUAUCUAAUAGAGAUAAAAAUUUUCUUAUGGAAUCAAACCUGGAACCUUUCCUAUCCCUACAUCAACCACUUGCUACCUAAGCCAUGCCUUAGGGGCCUACUUCAUACUUUUAGAUUUAUGCAUUUUGUACAUUUUUUUUUAUCAGAGCAUUUUGAACAAAAUUUUGGGAAAAGGAAGAUAGACAUUCUCUUUGUGUCAAAGAAACAAUGGAGAUGUCCCCCAAUUUAUUUUAUUUUUGCAUAAUCCCAUAUUUAUUUUAUUUGGCAUAACUGUUAAGGAAUAGUUUAAAUGAACAUGACAAAAAAUAUAUAGAUCAAAAUCGGUUUAUAAGAUUGAAAAUUUUGGGUCAUUAAUCAUAAGCGGUAAUUCUAGUUCAAUUAAAUUAUUACAAUAUAAUUUAUUUAUUUAUUGCAAUUACCUGAAAAUGGCUAGGCCUGAUAAUUUUGGUAAUCAAAUAUGGAGUUGAUUUUGAGAAAAUAAUUCAAAUUUUUUAUAGACAAAUUCAUAACAAUAGGUUUAUACCAUUCCUUUGUUAUCAGGAUCCCUCUUCUUUGUGUCACUAUUUCUUCAAAGCCCAAGAAAAGGAAAAUGGAAAUCAUUUCAAGUGUAGUAAGAAUCACAACUUAGAGAGUUUUCUUUUUUUUUUUGGCUCAGAGCAUGCCUUCUGCUUACAUUUUCACUCCUAGGUCUCUUCUUAACCUUCAAAUUGCACAUCAACAAGGUAUCACUGCCAUUUAGAACAUUUGAACACAAAUUUUAUAUUAUUCUCAGAUGUCUCUCUACCAUAAUGUUGUUCUUCUAUUAUCUACCAUUUCUCUUCAAUUUUUUUACCAACAGGCACUAUAUUCUUCCAUGAGGAAACAUGCAACAGAUUAGGGUGUGAGGGGUUCUAGCCCAAAAUGUACAUUGGAGCUAACUCCCCAAAAUAUGCACUUUGUAUACAUCAAGUACUAUAUAGAGAUGAAAAGCUUGUUGUAUGGGAAAGCGGACCAGAAAAUUUCAAACCAAUAUAUUUUUAUAAGCACAAUUCCAUAGGCUAAAUUCAGUUUGUGUAGUUCUAUCCAUGAUUGAAUCCAAGAUUGCCUUUCAACUAACAUCGUAUCAAAAAUUAUUUUCUCUAACAGCGAUUUUUAGGAGGAGGUUUUUAUAGAGCAACCUUCUGUUGUGUUGCUUAGGGAAAGUUAACAAGGCAUGAAAGGAAAACUAAUUCAUGAGCAGGUACAGUAGCCACCUAGCUUAUAUUAGGUCAAUUUAAUGGCAGUUUUUGUAUGGGUUAUAAAAAAGGACUUCCUUUCAUCAUUAUAUGUUUGUUCCUCAGAAAUGCAAUGGUAUUACUGGUUUGCCUGUGUAUGUACAGUAUCAUCGUUACAGUAAGUGAAUAUCAUGUAAAUAGUAACCUCAAGGCUCAUCUGAAUAGUAUUUUCAAUAGAAAGGUCUCAGUUGAUUGAAAAAUUGUCUUAGGGAUAGAAGGAGUCUGUUUAAAGUCCUAAGAACCCAAAUGCUAACUUGACAAUGAGUAAGACAACCAAUAUAGUUAGUCAACAAAACAUCACUCUUGUAUCCAUACUGAAGCUAUUUGUGAUACUUGAGUUAGCAAAGAAUUCACUCUUGGAAAGAUCUCAAGUUCAGGAAAACAAACAAUUGAAUAUUAAUAGAUUCUAUGACGCUGAAUCUGGAAAUGUUUGUUAUGCUGUCACUCUAAUGUCAAAAUUUUCAUUUAUUUGAUGUAAGUUAGAAACUCAAGGAAGGGAAUGUGAUACAGCUUGUGAGAUGAUGAGGAUGAGAUCUCUUGCACUGCAUGGGUUAUGCUGCUGGUUAGCCCACAAAGUUUCUCUGUUAUAAAUAGUUACAAUUUAAAUUGAGAAUAACCGUGUUUCUUAUGAGAGAACACAAUAUUUAAAGUGUAUUUUCUUUUAGACAGUACUAAUAAUAUUGCCUGACAUAUGUAGUAAGUGAAGUAGGGAAACUGCUGAUGGUUUUGCCUCUAUGAGAGACACUGUUCUUUCAAGUGUGCUUCCUUUGGACGUUCAACAUGAUUAUUCAUACAAUCUUAUAAGAAUUCAUAAAGCUGCGUGUAGUUUAGUGAAUCACUGUGCACCACUAGGAGAUUUUUGCAAGAGAAGAAUAUUAUUUAAUCAUAGAAAUAUCUGAAUCAAAUUAAAUAUAAAUAAACUCGAUCCUACCAGUGAUUCAACACACAAAUCUACAAUUUCAAAGAUGUUCGAUGCCAAAUACCCCACAAAGGAGCUUAAUUUGAAAAGACCAUAUUUAAAUAAAAUCAAUUCCAUAAUCCAAUCUUCAUGUAGAAUUUAAAUCAAGGAGAUCUUUUACCUUUCCUUCUGAAGUAGUAGUAGUUCCUCCCAGAUAGAGUUACAAUACGUAUUUCCAAGAGUGCGAAACAGAUCCAAGAUGGGAGGUUCCCAAACCUUGACAUCUAAUGUGAUAGAUCUUACCUGCAGUUGGAAGAAAAAAUAUCACCCUCAUUGUUGAUUCCUGUAAGUAUUUCACAUUCAGGGCACUGAUUAUACAUUUAUACUGUAUAGUUUUCUCGCUAAGGGUUCAAUAUCCCCUGCAAGGCAUGCUUCGAAGUUAAGAUACAGUGAAGAAUGGCCCUCUCCUUUUUCCUUUCCUUCCUCCCUGUCAGUAAUGAGCUAAGGAUCACUAUCCCCUGGAGGGUGCACUUUUAGUUGAGUCUUAAGACACAGAGUAGAGUGUAUUCAGCUGCAAAUUUCACUGCCCAAACUACAUUACAAUUGGUGAUACAAUGGCACUAUCUCUGCUUCUCUUCCUCCCUCCCUCCCUCCCUCCCUUUCAGUUAUAGGUUAAGGGACAUUAUCCCUAACAGGACAUACAUUGAAGUUAAAAUACAGUUUAAAAUUUAUUCAACCAAAAACUUCAUUGCUGAAACCAUAUUAGAACCAUUGAUAUUUUAGUAGUCAAAACAUAUUGGGGCUAUAUUUUUAAUAGAAUUGUUCUGUCAGAUCUCUUGAAAGUCAGGACAAAUGUACAUGAGUGUAAUAUACAAGAAAUCAAGGGAACCAUGCACUGCAGAAUGGAUAGCAGGGCAAAGGUCAGUAAAAAUUUUGCCAAAAAGAAAUAAAAAAAUAAUUAGUGUACACAUAAAACUUCAAGAAUUCCAUGUCAUUCCAAUGGCCACUCUCAGUCUAGGUUGAGGAUGACUCUCUCCAGCAUCUAAAAACCGUAUAUGGAAAGGAUGGAUCAUCUCAUCCCAAUUCACACCACACCUUGUCAGAGAUUUGCAGAACUCUCAUGGAUAGAGUUCUUGAUCAAGCCAUUAAUAUCUGAAUUAUCAAUUAAAAAACAGCAACAAAUUCAUUGGCUUUCCCAGUUUCUGCAUUGUACUACAGAAAUGUAGAACUAGGGUAAACUUGUGAAUAGAGUUUGCUAACUAUUCCAUGGGUGUGGACGAUGAAACUCAACUUUGGCAUAGGUGAUGGCAUGUUGCAAGCUAAAUGAGGUCCUCAGUAUCUGCCACUGUCACAAAUGUUAGAAUCAGAGCUAGCUGCUUUAGUGGAUGUCAUUGUUGAGGCUUCCACAUAUGGCAGUUGCUACACCAAGUUCUGCAGAUAAGGUGGUAGAAGCUGUGACAUUACCAUAGGAGGUAAAGUAAGUGCUCAGUCAUAACAACUACCUUUGCUGCAGUGACAUUUGCAAUCAAGUUCCUUAGGGUUGGGUUCUAGUUUGUUGGCUUUCAGAAGAUGUUAAUGCAGCUGGUAUUCACUGUUGCCUCUGGCAUGGAUGUCAUUGGGCUAUGCGUGGCUCCGAUUUGCCAAUAUGAGGUCCCAAGAUGGAAAAGAGUUCAGGUCUUCUCAAUUGCCCAUUUUGGUGCCCUUAGUUGCUAAAGCAUGUGUACUGUGUAACUGUAGGGGGAGUUCAUUUAAAUAGAGGAAUUGACAUAAACUGUACCUUGGGACCUAGGGUGCCUACUUUGAGGAAAGAAUGAGACAACUGAUAGGAGAGUGAUCGAGGGUGGCAAUAACAAUGAGAUCAUAAAGAGCUCUUUAAAUUGUCUUUCAAAUGCUACUGGAUUUGCUUUUGUGGAUCACGAAGAGCUCUUUAGGCUGAUUUUCUAGCCCCUACCAUAAUUCAUUUUCAAGUAGUUCUUAAUUAGAUCUUCCACUGGUUUUCCCUGUAAAGGCUGUAAAGUUGUCUCGAGGUUUGAUAGAAAUUCAAUGACCAGAAAUUUUUUUAUGGAGUUAACUAUUUAUGGAGAGGGCUGAUGUUUAUCCAAUUACAAGAGAAUGCUCCUAUGAGAUCCCUAGUCAGACAAUGAUUUCAGAACAGGUACUGGGUAGAUAAUUUUUUAUUUUAUUUUAUUUUAAUUUUUUUUAUAGGCAAAGACACAGAAAAGAGCAUAUUAAAAGAAACAGGGCGCCCAACAGAAGGCCCAGAGCAUAUAGGAGGUAUACAACAGGCACCUAAAGGUACUGGGUAGAUAAUGAAUAUGAUUUGAGACUGGUCGCAAUCUGAUUAAAUCCUUGACUCCCCUAAUGGACUCAAAAGUGACCACCACACUAGCUGUGAAAUUAGGCAUACAACAAGUUCAAUUAACCCUCACUCUUUGCUUCUGGUGCGAAAAAUGUGCAUUCAAAGUGAUGUGAGAGCACCGAUAUUCUCCCACAAUUCAAUUAUUGUUCUCUUCCCAUCCUCAAAGAUCUUGACAUUUCUAUCCAGCCAAACAGCUCAUGAGGUCUCUAAAAUAGCUGGUCCACUUCCCCCUGCACCCAUAUAUUACGGGCUCCAGCCAAACUUAAAAAGAGGCAAUCAUCAUAUGAAAACAUUUCUGGGAGCUACAAAGGCUGUUCCUGUUACUAAAAACAGCUUCUGUCAGUUCCAGAUCAAAGGGGCAAUGAAGAGAAAGGCCAGCACAUUCCCAACUGUAUGAGCAUCAAAUACAGAAAUUAGGGCUAAUGACUUAAUGAGGUUUCCUUCACUGAAGCAGAUAACCUAUAUUACAUUUGUAUUAGUCACCAGCCAAGCAAAAGCCCCAAGUUUUGGGUGAGUUUCAAAGUUUAAACAAGUUUUCCUUGGAGGAAAAUAGAAAGUGAAUCAACUUUAAAAAGUGCUUGAAGAAAGAUUUAGAGAAGAAGAAACUAACUCCCCUAGGUUCAAUACGUUUCAUCAGGUGGGGAAAGAGAGAGAGAAAGACACUUUGGAAAGACAACAGAAGGUCUAACAGAUCUUCAAUUUCUCAAUCUAAAAGAUUUCUUCAGAAUUCAAAAUUUCAAGUGGGAGAGCCAUGCACAAAGGAUGGUAGGCUAGGAAUAGGAAGACCCCUUGAGCUUGAAAAAGAAUAAAGAUGGGGAAGGAGAUUGUACAAGAGCUUGUCUCCCCACAAUAGAUCCUUUCAACCUUAGCAUAAGGCAAUUUAACUAAUCUAAGUAUCAUCCUUAAAGCUUUUGGUUUCUAUCCAAAAAUGAAAAUUAACAAAAGCAUUUGUCUUGAGUUAACAUCUAUUAAAAGUGUACCUUGUGGGAUUAACAAGUGGCCUCUGGAGUAUCUUGGCCUUCCUUUUGGAGGUAAACCUCACACUUUGAAUUUCAAAAUCUUAAGUUCACAAAAGUUGACAAAAGACAUGAUGAGUUUUUCUUAGGAGGGAGGAUUGUGUCAAUUUGAUCUUGCCUAGUGUACAUUCCUACCUAUUUCUUCUCUUGUUUUAGACAAUGACUAGUGUUUCUAGUUGCCACCUCUAUUAAGAACCUUUAGAGAAUUUUCUUUGGUCAGGUCAUGCAGAACUCUGUACAGGCCAUUUACUAAUUAGGAUAAUGUGUGAACCUAAGCAUGAGGUGGUUAGCUCUUGAGGGGGUCUGUUUGAUGAAGGCCUUAUUUGGUGGAUGUAUUUAUAGGCAUUUAAUAGAACAAGAUUGACUUUGGCAUCCUAGAAUUAUAGGUACAUAUAGAUUGCAGGUCAUGUCCUUUUUGAUGAUAUAAUGAUGGCCAAAAUGAUAUUGGCUCAAUUUGUAGUUAAAAGAGUUCAGCAAGUUAAAGUAUUCCUGGAAUUGAAGUUACUACUUGCUAGGUCUAGAAAGGGGAUUAUUCUCAUCUCUCUAAAGGAAUAUAUAAGUGCAAUCUUCUACAUGAGGUGGAUAUGUUAAAGAGUGUUGAAUCACUGAAUCUACAAUCAGGUCAUGACUUCUGUGUACCACUGGUGCUACAAAGGCUUUCGUGUUCUUAUUGGCACAUACCACAUUGUGAAACAUUGGGGGCAGAUAAUGAUGAUGAACAAGUAGGCACUAGUAGAUGGUAGAAGUGGGAUGCUUAUUCAUCCUGCACAUACUUGUCCCAACAUUCCAUAUAUGGUAUACUUAAUUGAUACAUGCAUGCUCUCAAAUCCUUUCAUCUAAAGAGCAUUUUAAGAUCUUUUGCUACUUAAACUCUUCUCCCAGAAAAAGGACUUCCAUUUGGUAAUCAUGCCCAUUUGAGGGCAGAGACUUACACUGAUGUUGAUUAAGCAGUUUCACUUAAUAACGAGUGAAAUAUCCUUCAUUUUUGCAAAUUUAUUUUUUUGGAGAAGAAAUAACUAAUUAUAUGAGGAAGAUGCUUGAAUUUGAAACAUUUUGGAUUUCUCCAAAAAGAAGGGAGUUUCGUUUAUGGAAACCUAAAUCAGCCAACCGGGUAGCAGAUCAGUUGACAAAGCACGAACCACCUUGUUAGAAUUUUUUCUCUGAGGGACUUCCUUCAUUUCAAGUGAUGGGAGCCCUUUUCAUCAUUUGGUUUGUUCUACCCUUCUGUUUGGGAGACACCUAUGAAAAUGAAUAAAAAUAUUGCCAUAAUCAAGUUCAAGAGUUGAAUGUACAAGGGAAAGCCUAAAUAGUGGUGUUACUUAUAUUCUUCUUGUACAAACCAAAGAGCAACUUCUCAAUCUCUUAACCAAAGGGGUGACAUCUAGGAGUUUUUAUGGUAGCCUAACCAAGAUAGGCAUGUGUGGCAUCAAUACACUAGGCUGAAAAGGGGAAGGGGGGUAGAGGGGUGUGGGUGGUGGUGUUUGGAAAGAGUUACUUUGCAUCUUUACCAUCUUAAGAUUACUAGUAUCAAAUAACUAAAGAUUUCUCUUGUAUCUCUUCUUUCUCUUGUAUCUUUUCUUUUAUUAAUAUAAUUUUCUUUGUUUCUAAGAAAAAAAAAAGUAUCAAAUAACUAAAGACAGACCUUAUAUAAAUUUUAAUCUUUUUGCUCACCCGCCUAUUUCUUUCCUAUCUCAUCUUUUCUUAUUCUAAUUUUGAAUUCUACUCUUCAUGUUGAGAAACUCAGCUUGUGACUAUAUUGACUAAUACCAACAGUCUUCAUCUGAGGAGGAUUGCCAACAACUGAAGCAAUAGAAUAAAGACUGAUAUUUCAAGCCCUAAGGAAACUAAAAUGAUGGUAAAUGUUCUACUAUGAUAUAAUUUAAGAAUGUACAAUCCUUACUAGUAGUUGAUGGCGGCUUCCUCUCAAUGCUACAUGUAAAUAUAUUUGUUCAAGUUGACCAUUUUGCGCUAAAGAUUAUUGGUUUGAGACAGCUUCACCAUCAUGAGUCUUAUAUUGACAUGUUUGAGUUGAAGACACAUAAUUUGGAAGCUCAAAUAAGUAGCUUUCAAGUUUGGAAUUAGAACAAAACAUUAAUGUUUAUAAUACAUGAUUUAGUCGCAAUUAAGAUUUAUUAGGCAAGUUAUGAAUGCUUGAAAGCAACCAGGAGUAAUCAAGUGGUCAAAAGCAAAAAAAUAUGAAAAAUGGGUUAGACGUUCAAAUAUCCACUAUAGGGACACUCAAGCGCCUCAAAUAUUUUCCUUGGAUUUUUUUUUUCAAUAGUUCAAAAUUUUAUAAUUAUAUGUUUUUGCUAAAUGGAUACAACUAAAGACCUAGGGUUUAGGAAUAAAAAGGAUUUAAAAAAUUCAUUUAAAUUUCAUUUUGGGUUUUGUGAAAUAAUGCUAAAAACUUGAAGGCACCGUCGUUUUGGCCUAAUUUUGAAAACUCCAAAAAUCAAGAUCUUGUUCAAAGAAUUUUGCAAACCCUUUGGGAAGAAAGGUAGAAGUCAAGGAUUUAAGUCGCGAAGCCAAAAUACAACUUUGAAGUGAUACAUUAAGAACCACAGGGGUGUGCUACAUCAUGGACGUGAAGAAUACAUUUAAGUUCUAGUUGGUGUAAAACUUGUGAGGUAGAACCAUCCAGGCCAAGUAAAACUAUAUGUGAUUCUUUCAUAUUUAGUGGAUUUUUGUUACGAAUGACAGAUCUGUGGUUUUUGCAUCUGCAAAUAAGUGAUUUUUCGUAUCUAGCUAGUGUUUUGUAUGUGAUUGAAUAUUCUUGAAUUAUUGAGAUUGUAAUCAAAUCUCACAAGGCUAAUUUUUUUUUUGAUAAAUAAACAAGAAGUAUAUUAUCAAAAAGCAAACAUCCACAAAGUAUUCAGGAUGUAUACAAGGUAGCCUAAACCUCUGUUGAGAGAGAGAGAAAGAAGAAAAACCUUAAUUCUCAUUCAUGUGAUUAACUACUUACAAUUGAGAAGUGUAUAUAUAUAUACAAGCCUAGGAGAACUAACUACCAUACAUGUAACCUAUAUUAAAAAAGGAAAGACUGUACACUAUAUAUACAUUAUAUUCAACACUCCCCCUCAAGCUAGAGCAUAUAUGUCAUAUGCACCAAGCUUGUUACAAAUGUAUUUAAUCCUAGGACCUCUGAGAGAUUUAGUGAAGAUGUCUGCUAGUUGAUCAUUUGAAUUAACAAAACUUGUAGCAACACAUCCUGAUGCGAUCUUCUCUCUAAUGAAGUGACAAACAACUUCAAUAUGCUUAGUCCUUUCAUGAAAGACUGGAUUGGAUGCAAUAUGUAAUGCGGCCUGGUUAUCACAGAUGAGUUUCAUCUGUUCAUCCUUUCCAAAUCUUAACUCUUGAAGAAGAUGUCUCAACCAUAUGAGUUCACAUGUUGCCAGAGCCAUAGCUCGAUACUCGGCUUCAGCGCUAGAUCUGGCCACUACAUCUUGUUUCUUACUCUUCCAAGAUAUUAGAUUACCUCCAAUAAAAACACAGUACCCUGAAGUGGAACGUCUAUCUGUGGGUGACCCAGCCCAAUCUGCAUCUGUGUAACCAACAACCUGAGUAUGACCUCUGUUCUCGUACAACACACCUUGGCCUGAUGUGCUUUUGAUAUAUCGAAGAAUGCGGAUUACGACAUCCCAUUGGCUAUCACAUGGUGACUGUAGGAAUUGACUAACAACACUCACAGGAAAAGAAAUGUCUGGACGAGUAAUGGUGAGGUAGUUCAAUUUACCUACGAGUCGUCGAUAUCUCCCAGGGUCUCCUAAAGGCUCCCCCUGUCCUGGUACAAGUUUGACAUUUGGAUCCAUAGGUGUGUCUAUCGGUUUACAGUCUAACAUACCGGUUUCUUCCAGGAUGUCUAAAGCAUACUUCCUUUAGGAAAGGACCACACCGGAACUGGAUUGAGCUAUCUCAAUUCCCAAGAAAUACUUGAGUUUCCCCAAGUCUUUAGUCUGAAAGUGGGUAAAAAGAUGUUGCUUUAGUUUCUGAAUACCAUCCUGAUCACUACCUGUAAUGACGAUGUCGUCCACAUAAACAACCAGAUAAAUACACUGCCCCAAGGAGUUAUGAUAAUAGAAAACUGAAUGGUCUACUGUACUGCGAAGCAUGCCAAACUCUUGAACAACAGAGCUAAAACGGUCAAACCAUGCUUGAGGAGAUUGUUUCAAGCCAUAUAGAGAACGGCGUAACCUACACACUAAACCAGACUCCCCCUGAGCAACAAAACCAGGAGGUUGCUCCAUAUAAACUUCCUCGACAAGAUCACCAUGAAGGAAGACAUUUUGAAUAUCCAACUGAUAAAGAAGCCAAGAACACAUAGCAGCCAUGGAGAGAAGCAGACAGACAGAAGCAAUCUUGGCAACAAGGGAGAAUGUGUCACCAUAAUUAGAACCAUAAACCUGAGUAUAGCCUUUAGCAACUAAGCGGGCCUUAAGGCGAUCAACCUGACCAUCAGGACCAACCUUAACUGCGUAGACCCAACGACAACCAACUGUAGAUUUACCAGAGGGUAAAACAACAAGAUCCCAAGUGCCAUUAGAGUGAAGAACAGCCAUUUCAUCCACCAUUGCCUGUCGCCAGCCUGGAUGGGAAAGAGCUUCAUGGGUGCUCUUUGGAAGAGAAACAGAGGAUAUAGCAAAAACAAAAGCAGAAUAGGGUGAAGAUAAUCAAUGAUAACUCAAAAAAUUGUAAAUAGGAUGAGGAUUACGAGUAAAGCGAGUACCUUUCCGAAUAGCAAUGGGUAAAUCAUCAGGAGAAGGCAGAGUCGGGGUAGGAGAAGUCGAAGGGGUAGGAAGUGAGUUAGCAAGUGCCUCAGCAAAAGGGAGAGGAGCAGCGACACGAGGGCGACGAUGAUAAACCUGAAGUGGUCGAGGAGGCACGACAUCAGUUGGGGAGACAAUGGGAAGGGGCAAGGCUUCAGAAACAGGAAGAGACUCAAAGAAGGUGACAUCAGCGGAUAUAAAGUAUUGAUGAGCCUCAAGGGAAUAACAACGAUAACUCUUCUGAAGUCUGGAAUAUCCCAAGAAGAGGCACUUCAUGGCUUUGGCAGAAAGCUUGUCCUGUCCAGGAGUGAGAAUAUGAACAAAGCAAGUGCAACCAAAGACAUGAGGAGGAAGGAAAUAAAGUGGUUGGUCAGGGAAGAGAAGGGAGUGAGGAAUCUGAUCGUGUAAGACAGAGGAGGGUAUACGAUUAAUCAAAUAACAAGCGGUAAGAACAGCGUCCCCCAAAAACGAAAAGGAACAUUACUAUGGAGGAGGAUAGUAUGAGUUGUCUCAACAAGAUGUCGAUUCUUACGUUCAGUUACCCCAUUUUGUUUAGGAGUAUGAGCACAAGAAGACUGAUGAAGAAUCCCAUGAUGAGACAUAAACGAAGUAAAUGGGGCAAAAAAAUAUUCCCUGGCAUUGUCACUGUGUAACACACGAAUAGAAAUAUUGAACUGGGUUUGGAUUUCAGCAUAAAAUUUCUGGAAAAUAGAGAAUAACUCAGCUCGAUUUUUCAUUAAAAAUAACCAAGUACAUCGAGAAUAAUCAUCAAUGAAAGUGACAAAAUACUGAAAUCUUAAAGUAGACGUGGUCUGACAAGGACCCUAAACAUCAGUGUGGACAAGCUCAAAAGGAGACUUUGCCCGAUUAUUCAAACGCUUUGGGAACGAGACACGAGUAUGUUUCCCAAGCUGACAUGACUCACAUGGAAGCGACGACAAAGUGGAAAAACGAGGGACCAUCUUCUGGAACUUGGAGAGACUAGGAUGACCCAGACGAUUGUGAAUGAGGAGAAGAGCAUCAGUGGAAAUGCAAACUGCAGCAGAUGAAUCCGAGGUGAGAUGAUAGAGGCCUUGAGACUCACGUCCUAUGCCAAUCGUCUUCCCCGUACUCCGGUCCUGCAAGGUCACAAAUUUAUCAGAAAAGGUAAUAGAGCAAUUAAGAGUACGAGUGAGUUUGCUGAUGGAAAUAAGAUUAAAAGGACAUUCAGGAGUAUAAAGGACAGAAGUGAGAGGUAGAGAAGGUAGAGGAAGGGCCAAACCAAUACCUUUAGCCACAGUUUGAGAACCAUUAGCUAAGGUAACAGUAGGUAAAGCAGAGGUAGUAGUAAUAGAGGAGAAAAGAUCCUUAUUACCAGAUAGGUGAUCAAAAGCUCCAGAAUCUAGAAUCCAGAGUCCAAGAGAAGAUGUGUGGGUAAGGCAGGCAGAGGCAUUACCAGGCUGGGCAACAGAGGCAAUAGAAGCCUGAGAUGUUUGAGAUGCGGAGGAGCUCGGAGGCUGAGGCAGCGGAGAAUCAGAGGACUGGGCCAUAUGGGCAGUGCAAGGAGGUCGUCCAUGUAACUGAUAGCAACGAUCGCGAGUGUGACCAAGUUUAUUGCAAUAGGUGCAAUGAGGACGUUGGCCUCUACCUCGGGUACCACUGUGUCCUCCUCGAGAGGUAGUUUGAGAAACUAACACAGAAGAAUCUGAAGUGCUAUCAGAUGACAAAGUCUGAGUGGACGAGAUACGGAGGAGGCGAGCAAACACAUCAUCCAAGGACGGAACUGAUGAACUACCAAGAAUCUGAUCACGGAUAGGCUCAAGAUCCGGACGGAGGCCAAUAAGAGUAAGGACCAUGAAGAACUUGUCAAGCUGUGUUUGUUGAGCCCCAACAUCAGGAGUAAGAGGCAUCACAGUCAAGAACUCCUCCUUAAGAGAGGCAAUCUGACCAAUAUAAGUAGAUAGAUCCAAGUCCUGUUGGUUGAUAUGGACAAUAGCAGAAGCCACCUUAUAAAGACGUUGGAUAUCAUUCGUGUAUAAUCCUUUGGCCUAAGUCCAAAAUUUAAAACAAGUUUUGUAGGCCCGAAGAUGAAGAAGAAUCUUGGGAUCAACCGAUUGCCAUAAUACACUACAUAACUGUGCAUCUAUCUUCCUCCACUGUACGCGGUCAACCUCAGGGAUAUUUGCCUCCUGGGUAACCAAGUGAUCUU
rnacentral:lncRNA from 1 species